AAAUGAAUAGACGGGGACCCGCACAAGCAGCGGAGCAUGUGGUUUAAUUCGAAGCAACGCGAAGAACCUUACCAAGACUUGACAUUCUUAUGCAUAGUAUGGAAACAUAUGAAAUGUAUAGCUUGCUAUACACAUUUGAACAGAUGGUGCAUGGUUGUCGUCAGCUCGUGUCGUGAGAUGUUGGGUUAAGUCCCGCAACGAGCGCAACCCUCUUUUUUAGUUGCCAUCAUUAAGUUGGGCACUCUAGAAAUACUGCCGUAGGUAAUACGGAGGAAGGUGGGGAUGACGUCAAAUCAUCAUGCCUCUUACGUCUUGGGCUACACACGUGCUACAAUGGGUGGUACAAAGAGAUGCAAUACAGUAAUGUGGAGCCAAACUCAAAAAACCAUCCUCAAUUCAGAUUGUGGGCUGCAACCCGCCCAUAUGAAGUCGGAGUUGCUAGUAAUCCCGGAUCAGCACGCCGGGGUGAAUGCGUUCUCGGGUCUUGUACACACCGCCCGU
rnacentral:rRNA from 1 species